rnacentral:rRNA from 1 species
AUAAAACGCUGGCGGCGUGCCUAAUACAUGCAAGUCGAACGGAAGGUUGUAGCAAUACUGCCUUUAGUGGCGAAUGGGUGAGUAACGCGUUGGUGACCUGCCCCAAAGAGAGGGAUAACAGUUCGAAAGGACUGCUAAUACCAAAUGUGGUUGUAAGAGCUAGAGUCUUACAUCGAAAGGAGCAAUCCGCUUUGGGAGGGGCCUGCGUCCCAUCAGCUAGUUGGUAGGGUAAUGGCCUACCAAGGCUACGACGGGUAGGGGGCCUGAGAGGGUGGCCCCCCACACUGGCACUGAAACACGGCCCAGACUCCUACGGGAGGCAGCAGUGGGGAAUAUUGCACAAUGGGCGAAAGCCUGAUGCAGCGACGCCGCGUGGGGGAUGACGGUCUUCGGAUUGUAAACCCCUUUCAGUAGGGACGAAGCGCAAGUGACGGUACCUGCAGAGGAAGCCACGGCUAACUACGUG